GAUGAACGCUGGCGGCGUGCCUAAUACAUGCAAGUCGAGCGAACAGACGAGGAGCUUGCUCCUCUGACGUUAGCGGCGGACGGGUGAGUAACACGUGGAUAACCUACCUAUAAGACUGGGAUAACUUCGGGAAACCGGAGCUAAUACCGGAUAAUAUAUUGAACCGCAUGGUUCAAUAGUGAAAGACGGUUUUGCUGUCACUUAUAGAUGGAUCCGCGCCGCAUUAGCUAGUUGGUAAGGUAACGACUUACCAAGGCAACGAUGCGUAGCCGACCUGAGAGGGUGAUCGACCACACUGGAACUGAGACACGGUCCAGACUCCUACGGGAGGCAGCAGUAGGGAAUCUUCCGCAAUGGGCGAAAGCCUGACGGAGCAACGCCGCGUGAGUGAUGAAGGUCUUCGGAUCGUAAAACUCUGUUAUUAGGGAAGAACAAAUGUGUAAGUAACUAUGCACGUCUUGACGGUACCUAAUCAGAAAGCCACGGCUAACUACGU
rnacentral:rRNA from 1 species